UAGUUGUGCAGUUUCCUGCAGCACAGCGAUGGACCUGGGCGAUGCCCUGCACUUAAGUUACAUAUUCAUCAAGUAUAUGUUGCGUUAUCCUUGUCCCUUGACAAGAGAAUCGGCUGUGAAGCAUGUUCUGAAUGGGAUCAGGAUCUCGGAGGAAACUCAAAUACGUACAUCACUCUUUCAGUACUGCUUGGUUUCUGUGUGAUUCUGAAACCAAUCCUACCCUAGUCUGUGCUGCAGUAAGGACUGUGGGAGGCUGUGCUUGAUGCUUGACAAAAAUCAGGUUGCAGAUGGCUUCUGCAGUGAGGAGUAGCAAGUUUGCUAGCAGACCUGCUGGCUACAGCUUGUAAAUGCAUAGCUCCAACUGUACAUCUUUAUUUCAAAGAAUGCAUGGGGGUUUUAAAGUUAAUUAAUUUUGGGGGGGGGGGUGUCUUAGAGUGACCAUUUCAAAUUUGGGGCUUAAACAGCCUUUGUAAAAUCAAAGUAGCAAUUUGUGACUGCUGCUAGUCAAAGGAAAGACGUAUACUUGUGUGUCUGUUACAAAAAUGAAAGCCAGGUGUGCUCUGCACAAUAAGAUUAUCUUUAAUUUUGACAAACAGUAACAGUAAACAAGAUGACAUUCCAGUGAAAAAGGAGGACAGUGUAAAACACCACAAUGCAACAAUGCCAGAGAAAAAACCACAUUUAUAUUUGUAUACAUACAAUAAGCAAGGCCCUGAGUAUCACAAUAGCUGGAAUAAACUUUUUAGGCACUAAGCUUGUUUGAAAAAUACACAGUAUGCAGGACAACAUUUGUCUGUUAAGGCUAUAUCAUUUAGUCUUCAAAAAAUGAGUGAAUUCUGUUUUAUUAUCUCUUUUGAAUGGUGUCAAUCUAAUAACUUCAAAUUAAAAAUGACAAUCCAGUAACUAAUGGCUUACAAAGUAGAGCCACAGGUGGGUAGCAAGACCUAUACUGAUAACAGGAGUUAGAUAAUCGUGCUUGAUAUGACAUUUUUAAACUUUCUGAAAUGUUGGUUUUGAGUAAUAGUAAAUUUUCCUUGGCAGUCACUGGAUUAACUGUUAAGUAAACUUUAUUGUGUGUCAGUUAGAAACUGCAAUUCACUGUGCCCCUGCUUGUGAGGAGGGCCGGUUACAGAAGUUGGUACAAUGUUUCAUAUCCAUACAGUGUAUCUUCAAACUUGAGAUUAAUUGGUUCUUUAUCAGCGGCAGAAGCCAUCUAACGUAAAUCAAAAUCAAUACUAUCUAGUAAUUCACAGUUUUACAUAAAAUAACAUUGAACACUUUGCUGCAGUUAGGAUAUCAGCACAUUCAGAUAAAUACCUUAUUUUUAUAUUGGACUAACAAGAAUGUACCUAUAACAUAGCCACAGCUAGCUGAGUCAAAGCAGUAUUUAGGUGAAGAUUGACUAUGGAAAGAGACAUAAAAUACAGUAAAUGCUUACGCUUUUUGCGGUACAUGCUUAAAAUGUAAACUAGAUACAGCCUAGUACUGCAUGUAUGUACUGUAUCAGUGUGAGAGGUGAUUCAGCUACUUCAGUGACUAUUUGAUGUUUGCUGUGCCAAAGCAUUAAAAUGAUUUCUCUAACUGGCGAAAGCAAUCAAAUUGCAGAAACUCUUUAAUUUGCCAUAAAAUAUUGUCAAAGGUGAAAAUCGUUUUAAUUUGCUCUUAAAAAAAUCCUUGGGGUGAGGGGCCAAGGGCAAAACAAAACCUGUUAUUUGAUGGCUCCCUGGACUAUCUGUGCAAAUCAGUUUUAAAAAAACUUGUUGUUUUCCAUUAACUUAUUAGCUUUCAUGUCAAUACUGUCUGGAAUUUCCAACAAUCUGAGGAAAUGUUAAAAAUAAAAAGCAAAAUAAAUAAAAAUCAAGCAGGAAAUAAUUUAAGAUAGUGAAAAGGAAUUUUUUUGUUUUGUUAUUAAAUAUCUUUCCCCCUCCCCCAGCUAUGAUCCUGUAUCUUGGAUAAAUUGAGAGGGAUAAAAGACAUGACAAGUACCUUCAUUGCCUUGUCCUUAAGAA